CAUUUUAUUUGAAAGCAUUGAAUAAGUGGCUCAGGCUCGCGCUCAGACUUAAGGGGCUGAUGAACUACGUCCCCGCCGCAGCCAGCUUUCUCUGCACCCCAAACCAGCCCGCUCCAGACGUCGGGCUGAGAUUCUGCUAUCACGUAGGCAGUGAGGUUGCGGGGGAGACGCGAUGCUUCCCUUGAAACCAUCAAGACAGAUGUCCGCGGGUUUUAGGGUGUACCCCCAAGGCAAGCACAUCUGGGCCGUCUCCAGGCAGAUGCUAGACCAAGAAGCUGCAGCUUGCGAGGCACCACCGCCCAGAACCGAGGUCCGGGUGGAAGGGUGGCGGCACCGCCCCUCGGGGGAUGCUCUCCCGACUUCAGAGAGGAAGAAAGGAAGAAAUGCACCCUAGGAAAACGGGCUUCGACUUUUUGUGCCUGUGCUUUCAUGGAAGUCACCAGCUUUCAGGCUGCUUAAGAUGCUGCUCAGACGCGCACCCAGCCAGUCUGUGGCCAGCCUUGCUAAGUCUGCGAGUCCCGGUCGGCGACCACUUAGGGUAGCACCGGGUUACACAAAAGGGUUAGGAGAUAUGCUCGCCAUGCUUACCUGUUGGCAAAGGAAAAAAUGCAAAAUGAAAUUUUAAAUUUGGAAAAUAAUACGUGGUGAUAUCUUUUAGAACCACGCACAGCUUUCUUCAGACAAAAGCCAAUUUUACCAUCCCGAAACCCAUGGCGCCCUGGAACUUCCGUUCGCAGCACUUUGGCGCCCUCUGGCUGUGUCAGGAUUGCCUGUUUGUUCUGCUUCGUCCCAAAAGAAUAAGGGGAAUGGAAAUGCAUGUUAUCUCGGUUGGAUCUACCCUCAGUGAGGAGCAUGAAUUCUGAAGGAGCUUGCCCUCUCCACGGUCGAUCGCGAUGACAAAACAUAACCAUAUUUAAAGAGACAAACGCCAAAGCUGGCUGGUAAAGGCACACAGGUCUCCAGGGCUAGACAUGAACUGGCAGAGAUCAUUGAUCAGGUACCACACUCCAACAACCCUUUGUGUCCCUGGAGCUCCACAAAUAAAAUGCAGGGACAUGCUGUGGGGCAACAGAGGUGAAGAUUGGAAAGGCGUGUCUUCAAACAGGAGCCACCCUUGACAGCUGGGAGCCCAGCAGUCAGGAGGGAGGUGCCGAUGUAGACCGCUUCCAAGCCUCCGGAGCCAUCCCCUCCCGGAUCUUGAUCCAGACUCCGCGCCUCUGGGACUGUGAGAAAGCCAUAGGGUUCUGUUGUCUAAGCCACCCAGCUUGUGGGAUUUAUUCUGGAAGCCCCAGAACACUGUCACCCAAGUCAGCAAAGGUCAAUGGAACUGAAGAACGCCUGGGAAGAGACACUCAACUAACCCAAGGUCCUUGGGAAUUCUCUCUGUGCUUGUCUCCCUGCCUCCCCCUUCUCUUUAUCCAACUCCAGUUAUUUCUAACAGAGGGCUUUGUUUUCAGUUCUCUCCAAGUGAACCACUCGUGGUGAUUUCUGGAGCCAUGUGUGUUAGUUACUUUGCUGGUUUCCUUAAAGACCUAAACAACACGCAGUCUGGUGGGCAUCUGAGAUGACUGUGCUCCCUUGAGUUACCCAAAGUAUUUG